GCGGCCAUGGCGGAAUUGGUAGACGCGCAACCUUGAGGUGGUUGUGGGAGCACUCCCGUGAAGGUUCAAGUCCUUUUGGCCGCA
rnacentral:tRNA from 1 species